UACAGAGGUCUCAACCGUUGUUCGGAUUCAUUGGGCGUAAAGGGUGCGUAGGCGGCGGGGUAAGUCAGGUGUGAAAUCUCGGGGCUCAACCCCGAAACUGCACUUGAUACUGCCUCGCUUGAGUACUGGAGAGGAGACUGGAAUUUACGGUGUAGCAGUGAAAUGCGUAGAUAUCGUAAGGAAGACCAGUGGCGAAGGCGAGUCUCUGGACAGUUACUGACGCUGAGGCACGAAGGCUAGGGGAGCAAACGGG
rnacentral:rRNA from 1 species